GAUAAACGCUAGCGGCAGGCUUAACACAUGCAAGUCGGGGGGCAGCAUAGAUUGUAGCAAUACAAUUGGUGGCGACCGGCGCACGGGUGCGUAACGCGUAUGCAACCUACCCGUCACAGGGGGAUAAUCCGGAGAAAUCUGGUCUAAUACCCCAUAACAUAUGGAUCGGCAUCGGUUCAUGUUGAAAUUUUCGGAGGUGACGGAUGGGCAUGCGUAGCAUUAUCUUGUUGGUGAGGUAACGGCUCACCAAGGCGACGAUGCUUAGGGGGACUGAGAGGUUUUCCCCCCACACUGGUACUGAGACACGGACCAGACUCCUACGGGAGGCAGCAGUGAGGAAUAUUGGUCAAUGGGCGCAAGCCUGAACCAGCCAUGCCGCGUGCAGGAUGACGGCUCUAUGAGUUGUAAACUGCUUUUGUACGAGGGUAAAGUGGGUUACGUGUAACCUUUUGAAAGUAUCGUACGAAUAAGGAUCGGCUAACUCCGUGCCAGCCGCCGCGGUAA
rnacentral:rRNA from 1 species